rnacentral:rRNA from 1 species
CAGUAGCCGCGGUAAUACGGAGGAUCCAAGCGUUAUCCGGAAUCAUUGGGUUUAAAGGGUCCGUAGGCGGUCUUGUAAGUCAGUGGUGAAAGCCCAUCGCUCAACGGUGGAACGGCCAUUGAUACUGCAGGACUUGAAGUAUUGGGAAGUAACUAGAAUACGUAGUGUAGCGGUGAAAUGCUUAGAGAUUACAUGGAAUACCAAUUGCGAAGGCAGGUUACUACCAAUUGAUUGACGCUGAUGGACGAAAGCGUGGGUAGCGAACAGGAUUAGAUACCCCGGUAGUCCCUGUCUCUUAUAC